CUCUUCUCCCUUCUCGUCUUUCCAAGAGGCAAGAGCAGAGCACUAGUCGAGCAGAGUAGCGCGCCCGCGAGCGCGAGCCCUGCUUGCUUUGCCUUCGCCUUGCCGUCUGCAGUAUGUGUGUGUCUGUCUGUCACUCCCCGCCCGCAUCAAUCAUUUGUUAGAAAGGAAGUGUAGUAGUAGCAGAAAGAAAGAAAGAAAAGUGGCGAUCCGGAGGAGGAGCAGAGGCAGAGGCGGAGCAUCAGUGUCGUGUUCCCCAAAAGCUCGCAGCACAGCACUGUUCCUGUUCCAGCCCUCUGCUGGCUGAUUAUCAUAGUACCGUGCCAUCAUCAGCAUCCUAAACCAAAAGCACCACCACCUUAUCAUGAUGCCACUGCUGGCAGACAGGAGAGAGAGAGAGGGAGAGGGAAAACAACACCGACUUUCUAUUGCAGAAUAAUAAUAAGCAUAAUAAUAAUAAUAAUAAUAAUAACAACAACAAAACAAGCUAGCUAGACAUGGUAAAAAGAAAAACCAUUUGCUAACAGUAACAGCAAAGCAAGCACAUAGGGGGACUGAAGCAGGAACCUGGUGGUGGGCAUGGCAGGUACGGG
rnacentral:lncRNA from 1 species